rnacentral:rRNA from 1 species
CUAAGAAAACGGCGAAAGCUUGUUUGAAUAUGCGACAUGAAUUGUAAGACUGUGUGUUUAUUGUGUGUGUGUGCAGUUGUCGUAUGUUUUCGAAAGGGAAUCCGGUUGAUAUUCCGGAACCGAGUAACGGAGACAAAGAGUAGCGCUUUAAUCUCUCUGUGGGGUUGGCGUUCAACUCAAUCGCGCGGUAACGCAAGCGAACUCGGAAAAUGACCGUCGUGAGUUUCGAAAAGAGUUUUCUUUUCUUUUUAAGGGACGCAUUCCCUGGAACCGGGUUGUCCGGAGAUAGGGAUUCUGGUAUCCAUAAAACGCCGA